GCUGGCGGCACGCCUAAUACAUGCAAGUCGAACGAAGUAGCAAUACUUAGUGGCAGACGGGUGAGUAACAUGUAGGUAUCUUCCCUUUGGUGAGGAAUAACACGAGGAAACUUGUGCUAAUACCUCAUAAGUCUUUACGGAGAAAGCUUUAUGCGCCAAUGGAUGAGCCUGCACUUGAUUAGUUAGUUGGUAGGGUAAUGGCCUACCAAGACAUUGAUCAAUAGCUGAUUUGAGAGGAUGAUCAGCCACAUUGGGACUGAGACACGGCCCAAACUCCUACGGGAGGCAGCAGUAGGGAAUCUUGCACAAUGGGGGAAACCCUGAUGCAGCGAUGCCGCGUGAGUGAAGAAGGCCUUUGGGUUGUAAAGCUCUUUCGUCGGGGAAGAAAAUGACUGUACCCGAAUAAGAAGGUCCGGCUAACUUCGUGCCAGCAGCCGCGGUAAUACGAAGGGACCUAGCGUAGUUCGGAAUUACUGGGCUUAAAGAGUUCGUAGGUGGUUAAAAAAGUUGGUGGUGAAAUCCCAGAGCUUAACUCUGGAACUGCCAUCAAAACUUUUUAGCUAGAGUAUGAUAGAGGAAAGCAGAAUUUCUAGUGUAGAGGUGAAAUUCGUAGAUAUUAGAAAGAAUACCAAUUGCGAAGGCAGCUUUCUGGAUCAUUACUGACACUGAGGAACGAAAGCAUGGGUAGCGAAGAGGAUUAGAUACCCUCGUAGUCCAUGCCGUAAACGAUGUGUGUUAGACGUUGGAAAUUUUUUUCAGUGUCUCAGCGAAAGCAAUAAACACACCGCCUGGGGAGUACGACC
rnacentral:rRNA from 1 species